rnacentral:rRNA from 1 species
UCAAGCUGGAAAGAGCGCAAGGGGAAUGCCUUGGCAUCAGGAGCCGAAGAAGGACGUGACAAGCUGCGAAAAGCCUCGGGGAGGAGCAAAUAUCCAUUGAUCCGGGGAUAUCCGAAUGGGGCAACCCGGCUGGACAAUAUCCAGUCAUCCUGCGUUGAACAAAAUAGGCGUAGGAAGGGAACCGCCUGAACUGAAACAUCUAAGUAGGGCGAGGAAGAGACAUCAACCGAGAUUCCGCAAGUAGUGGCGAGCGAACGCGGAAGAGGCCAAACCGAGGGAUUUAUUCCUCGGGGUUGCGGACAGUCAUUUAGCGGAAGUUAUCUAGGAGAAGGGUCUGGGAAGGCCCGCCACAGAGGGUGAGAGCCCCGUAUCCGAAAGAGAAGGCCGUGCGACUGAAUCCAGAGUACCGCGGGACACGUGAAACCCCGUGGGAAACAGGGGGGACCACCCUCCAAGCCUAAAUACUACCUGAUGACCGAUAGAGGAGCAGUACCGUGAGGGAAAGGUGAAAAGGACCCCGGGAGGGGAGUGAAAGAGAACCUGAAACCUUGUGCUUACAAGCUGUCAAAGCACGUUAACGUGUGAUGGCGUACUUUUUGUAGAACGGUCCGGCGAGUUAUAGUAACGAGCGAGCUUAAGGCAUUCAGUGCCGGAGGCGAAGCGAGAGCGAGUCUGAAUAGGGCGUAAAGUUCGUUGCCAUAGACCCGAAACCGGGUGACCUACCCAUGAGCAGGUUGAAGUGGGGGUGAAACCCCAUGGAGGACCGAACCGACCCCCGUUGCAAUGGUGGCGGAUGACUUGUGGGUAGCGGUGAAAUUCCAAUCGAACUCGGAGAUAGCUGGUUCUCCCCGAAAUAGCUUUAGGGCUAGCGUUAUGUUAGAUUACCGGAGGUAAAGCACUGAAUGGUAGCGGGGCCGAUAAGGUUACCAACGCCUAUCAAACUAAGAAUGCCGGCUAAUUGAUGCAUAGCAGUCAGACAGUGUGAGAUAAGUUUCAUUGUCAAAAGGGAAACAGCCCAGACCUACAGCUAAGGUCCCGAAUAGAUGCUAAGUGGAAAACGAUGUGGAGUUGCGAAAACAACCAGGAUGUUGGCUUAGAAGCAGCCACUCAUUAAAAGAGUGCGUAAUAGCUCACUGGUCGAGUGACUCUGCGCGGAAAAUAUAACGGGGCUAAGCGUAACACCGAAGCUUGGGCUGCACAGCAAUGUGCGGGGUAGGGGAGCGUCGAAUAUGGGGUGAAGUCGCAGCGGAAGCAGCGGUGGACUGUAUUCGAGUGAGAAUGCCGGAAUGAGUAGCGAGAAUUAUGUGGGAAUCAUAAUGGCCGAAAAUCUAAGGUUUCUUGGGGAAGGUUCGUCCGCCCAAGGUAAGCCGGGAGCUAAGGCGAGGCCGAAAGGCGUAGUCGAUGCACAUACGGUUGAAAUUCCGUAGCCACCGAAACUUAAACCAGAAGGACACUUGGAGCUAUCCGAACCCGGGCGUUGGUUGACCCGGGCGUAAGGGACCGAAAUUAAGUAGGGAAGUCGGAGAAUGACGAGGCGAGAAAAGUUCUGGUGUAUGCUAAGGUGCCCGUACCGCAAACCGACACAGGUAGAUGAGGAGAGAAUCCUAAGGCCAACGGGAGAAGGGUUGUUAAGGAACUCGGCAAAAUGACCCCGUAACUUCGGGAUAAGGGGAGCCUCCUACGGGAGGCCGCAGCGAAUAGGCCCAAGCGACUGUUUACCAAAAACACAGGUCUCUGCUAAAUCGAAAGAUGACGUAUAGGGGCUGACGCCUGCCCGGUGCUGGAAGGUUAAGAGGAGAUGUUAGCCGCAAGGCGAAGCAUUGAAUCGAAGCCCCAGUAAACGGCGGCCGUAACUAUAACGGUCCUAAGGUAGCGAAAUUCCUUGUCAGGUAAGUUCUGACCCG